rnacentral:rRNA from 1 species
UUUAAUGGAGAGUUUGAUCCUGGCUCAGGAUUAAUGCUGGCGGUACGUCUAAUACAUGCAAGUCGAACGGAGCACUUGUGCUCAGUGGCGAACGGGUGAGUAACACGUAGGUAACCUGCCCUUAAGACGAGGAUAACUCUUGGAAACGAGAGCUAAUACUGG